CCAGUCCAGUCCAUUUUUAGGCACCGAAACACGAGAAGCACGAUUUAUGGUUCAUAAUCAGCAGGAAAAGACAGAGAGAUCAGAAUUUAAUUCACAGGUGAGAAAUUGGGUGGAAAAAUGUGUGUGCAGGACUUUUUGGGGAGAUUUUGACGAAAAGAAAGAAAAUGUGGAGUGGGAAGAAAAUCUAUCUGCUCGGAGAGCACCACAAUCACUUAAAUUCUCAGUGAACAGACACUCGCAAACAGAACAAAAAAGCUAUUUUGGCGGUUCUGCAAAACUCUUUCCCCAACUGAAACCGCAUUCAUUGCAAUUCAAACCCCCCUCGAAAUCGCCACGAACCCCUACACGCAGAACGCUCACUGGGACAGAGAUAUAUGGAGGAAGAGGGAAUUGGGUUGGUACUGGCUAGAGCCACAGAGCUUCGAUUCAAAAUCAGCAAUUGCAUCCACAAGGCUACCUCUACUCCAAGCCAUGGCCCUGAACAAGAAGAUGGAAAGAAACAAGGAGGAGGAGAAGGACAAGAAGAAGAAGAGGAAGAGGAGGAAGAAGAAGAAAUGGAAAGACUUUUGAACAUUUCCGAUGCCCUCCAAUCCCUCGAGACUCAGCUCUCUUCCUUGCAGACUUUGCAACAACAACAACGAUAUGAAAGAGAAGUGGCCCUUGCUGAGAUUGAAAAUAGCCGUAAGAUGUUACUUGAUAAGCUCAAGGAGUACGAAGGGAAGGAUUUGGAAGUAAUACAUGAAGCUUCUGCGUUUGCUUGUGAAACAGUAGAACACAACAAUGAUCUUCAGCUUCCUCCAUAUCCAAGCCGCCCUCCAAAAAACUCCCUUCACCUAGAGAAUGGCUACCUGCCACAGUACCCUUCCACAUCUAAGCCUGUACGAAAUGGAACAAUCAACAGUUAUCCAACAAAUGAAGCGAAGAAGAAUAUCAGCGAGUUAGAAAAAAGUCAAAAGCAAACUGGGACCGGGUCCCAAGGUUCUAGGAAAGGGUUGGGAUUUUUCAUUAGUGCAGCAAGCAAGACGGUGCUUACUCUUGUUGGUGUGGUAUCUAUAUUAAGCAUGUCUGGUUUUGGGCCUAAUUUUGUGAAAACAGAUAACCUUUUCAAAGUUUUCGGCCUCUCUCAGCAACCAGCAGCUGACGAAAGGAGAUCUGGUACUCAGUGCCCGCCUGGGAAAGUCCUAGUAGUUGAAAAUGGGGAAGCUCGGUGUCUUGUUAAAGAAAGAGUUGAAGUACCAUUCUCAUCGGUGGUUGCAAAACCGGAUGUAAACUACGGCUUUUACUAUAAGUUACCCAAGAUUGCUCCAAAUCCCAUAUCAGAUAACACCAUUUUCAAAACGUCCUGCUAAUUGUUGACAAAAGAAACAAUCUGCCCCUGCCACAUUCAAGCCAGCUUGAGCUUAUAACCAAAGACCAUGAACACUUUGGAAGGAAGAGGAUUCACAGAAGAGCAAGAAGCUCUGGUGGUGAAGUCAUGGACGGCAAUGAAGCCGAAUGCCGGGGAAUUGGGUCUCAAGUUCUUCUUGAAGAUAUUUGAGAUUGCUCCAUCAGCUCAGAAGCUGUUCUCAUUCUUGAAAGACUCAGAUGUUCCCGUGGAACGAAACCCAAAGCUCAAGUCCCAUGCCAAGACUGUCUUUCUCAUGACUUGUGAAACGGCAGUGCAACUGCGGAAAGCUGGCAAAGUUACUCUGAGAGAGUCAAGCUUGAAAAAAAUGGGCUCUGUCCACUUUGAACAUGGGGUGGUCGAUGAACACUAUGAGGUCACAAAGUUUGCGCUGCUCGAAACUAUAAAGGAAGCAGUACCCGAAAUGUGGUCUCCGGAGACGAAGAAUGCGUGGGGAGAAGCUUAUGAUCAGUUGGUUGCUGCUAUCAAAUCUGAAAUGAAGCCUUCCUUUUAAAUAAGCUUAUAUAUAUUAUGAUCUCUUCCCUUUAUAUGAAACUAUGUGUGUUUGAAAUGAUUUAAUAUGCGCGCAUGUGUAUUUUGAGGACAUUGUAUGCUAUUAUGGACAUGAUCAAUUAAGUAGUACUACAAGUUCACACUUGUGAAAUGUA